CAAAAGGAACCGUCUUCAUAAGGUGCUGAGACCAAAUGAUCCUUCAAGUUAGGACCCCUUCGAUGAAUUAAUAUCACUGCCCUUCACACUUUGGGGCUAUCCAUACUGAUGUACCUAUACAUUGGGACCCGACCGAUACUCCUGGAUUUAUGAUUGAUGAUUGACUAUUGAUUGACGCGUG